UAGGGAAUCUUCGGCAAUGGACGAAAGUCUGACCGAGCAACGCCGCGUGAGUGAAGAAGGUUUUCGGAUCGUAAAACUCUGUUGGUAGAGAAGAACGUUGGUGAGAGUGGAAAGCUCAUCAAGUGACGGUAACUACCCAGAAAGGGACGGCUAGCUACGUGCCAGCAGCCGCGGUAAUACGUAGGUCCCGAGCGUUGUCCGGAUUUAUUGGGCGUAAAGCGAGCGCAGGUGGUUUAUUAAGUCUGGUGUAAAAGGCAGUGGCUCAACCAUUGUAUGCAUUGGAAACUGGUAGACUUGAGUGCAGGAGAGGAGAGUGGAAUUCCAUGUGUAGCGGUGAAAUGCGUAGAUAUAUGGAGGAACACCGGUGGCGAAAGCGGCUCUCUGGCCUGUAACUGACACUGAGGCUCGAAAGCGUGGGGAGCAAACAGGAUUAGAUACCCUGGUAGUCCACGCCGUAAACGAUGAGUGCUAGAUGUAGGGAGCUAUAAGUUCUCUGUAUCGCAGCUAACGCAAUAAGCACUCCGCCUGGGGAGUACGACCGCAAGGUUGAAAC
rnacentral:rRNA from 1 species